AUUAGCUUGUUGGUGAGGUAACGGCUCACCAAGGCGACGAUCAGUAGCUGGUCUGAGAGGAUGAUCAGCCACACUGGGACUGAGACACGGCCCAGACUCCUACGGGAGGCAGCAGUGGGGAAUAUUGGACAAUGGGCGAAAGCCUGAUCCAGCAAUGCCGCGUGAGUGAAGAAGGCCUUAGGGUUGUAAAACUCUUUCGCCGGUGAAGAUGAUGACUGUAGCCGGUAAAGAAGCCCCGGCUAACUCCGUGCCAGCAGCCGCGGUAAUACGGAGGGGGCUAGCGUUGUUCGGAUUUACUGGGCGUAAAGCGCGCGUAGGCGGUAUAUCAAGUUAGGCGUGAAAGCCCCGGGCUCAACCCGGGAACUGCGCUUAUUACUGAUAAACUAGAGUCCGGGAGAGGGUGGCGGAAUUCCCAGUGUAGAGGUGAAAUUCGUAGAUAUUGGGAAGAA
rnacentral:rRNA from 1 species